rnacentral:rRNA from 1 species
GACGAACGCUGGCGGCGUGCCUAAUACAUGCAAGUUGAGCGCUGAAGGUUGGUACUUGUACCAACUGGAUGAGCAGCGAACGGGUGAGUAACGCGUGGGGAAUCUGCCUUUGAGCGGGGGACAACAUUUGGAAACGAAUGCUAAUACCGCAUAAAAACUUUAAACACAAGUUUUAAGUUUGAAAGAUGCAAUUGCAUCACUCAAAGAUGAUCCCGCGUUGUAUUAGCUAGUUGGUGAGGUAAAGGCUCACCAAGGCGAUGAUACAUAGCCGACCUGAGAGGGUGGUCGGCCACAGUGGGACGGAGACACGGCCCAAACGGCGACGGGAGGCAGCAGGAGGGAAUCGUGGGGAAGGGGCGAAAGUCUGAGCGAGCAACGCCGCGGGAGUGAAGAAGGUUGUCGGAUCGGGAAACUCGGUUGGUGGAGGAGAACGUGGGUGAGAGUGGAAAGCUCAGGAAGUGACGGUAACUACCCAGAAAGGGACGGCUAACUACGUG